GGUCCUGGUCCUGGCUCUGGUCCUGGUCCUUGCUCUGGCUCUGGUCCUGGCUCUGGUUCUGGUCCUGGUCCUGGC
rnacentral:miRNA from 1 species